UAUGUUAAAAGUAAAGGAUGGUGG
rnacentral:piRNA from 1 species